GUGCUCGCUUCACUGCACACAUACUAAAACUGGAAUGAUGCAGAAAAGAUCAGCACAGCCUCUGCACAAGGAUGACAUGAAAAUUCGUGAAGCCCUCCCUAUUUUU